AAAUUGAAGAGUUUGAUCAUGGCUCAGAUUGAACGCUGGCGGCAGGCCUAACACAUGCAAGUCGAACGGUAACAGAAAGCAGCUUGCUGCUUUGCUGACGAGUGGCGGACGGGUGAGUAAUGUCUGGGAAACUGCCCGAUGGAGGGGGAUAACUACUGGAAACGGUAGCUAAUACCGCAUAACGUCGCAAGACCAAAGAGGGGGACCUUAGGGCCUUUUGCCAUCGGAUGUGCCCAGAUGGGAUUAGCUAGUAGGUGGGGUAACGGCUCACCUAGGCGACGAUCCCUAGCUGGUCUGAGAGGAUGACCAGCCACACUGGAACUGAGACACGGUCCAGACUCCUACGGGAGGCAGCAGUGGGGAAUAUUGCACAAUGGGCGCAAGCCUGAUGCAGCCAUGCCGCGUGUAUGAAGAAGGCCUUCGGGUUGUAAAGUACUUUCAGC
rnacentral:rRNA from 1 species